rnacentral:lncRNA from 1 species
AUGGGUGCCACCCCGGCUUGCCCCCUGCGCCCUCCGUGUGCCCCACGUCCCCCUGCUUCAACCCCACAGCAGCCAGGGGCACCCUCGGGGCUCACCCCCAUGUGCCCUGCUGGGGAUCUGGGGAUCCGAAGGGACAAAAAAGAGGCUGGGGGGGACCCGUGCCAGCCCCCCAGGGGCGUUGGACCUCCCCACAUGUCACCGUCACCUCUCCAUCCCUGCCCCGUGCCCCCCUGGCUGGGAAGGGGCGCACGCAGCCAUGCAGCGGCUCUGUGCCCCCCCUGCACAAGGCAGGAGCCCCCCGGGGGGGUCCCCAUCCUGCUCAGCACCCCGGGGGAGGAGGCAGGGGGCAAGAUGUGGGGCAGACCCACAGCCACGGCUGCUUGGGGACCAUGCUGGGGACCCAGGGUGGCCAAGACGUCACCGAUGCGGGCCCAGCACCCUCGGGACCAAGGCCCUGGAGCACCUGGCCCCAAUCCGUGCUCCGUGGCCCCCUGCCAUGGUGACCCCACUCCUGCCCCAACGCUGCGGCUCGUGGGGACCCUUUUGAUGUCCCCUCUUUGUUUUCCCUUUCCCGAGCACCUCCAGGUGCCCGAGGUGGCGAAAGGUCACGGGCACGGGGCCAGGUUCCCCUUUGGCUGCCUCCGUCCCCGGAUGCUCCACCCUGGAGGGCAGCUUGAAGCCCUUGAGGAGGGUUUGCUUUGGCCCCAAAUCCCGCUCCGGGGCAGCAGAGAGGUCCCCGUGCCCUGGGGACAAGUGUCCUCAGGCCCUCUUGAGCUGCGGGUUCCCAGGGGAAAGCAGCUGUGGGCAGGGCGCUGGGCAAACACCGCCGGGAGCGGGCGGCACACCCGAGUGGCACCACGAGGCUGCUCGUGGGGGCCGCCCCUUUCCCCACCCCAAAACCCCCCAAAUAAAGCCACUGCCCCAGCUGCUGCGGGCUGCCCGGGCUGGGAGGAGGAAGAGGAAGAAGAGGAGGAGGAGGAGGCAGAGAUGGAGAGCAGCAUGAAGCAGGUGGCAGUCGAGGAGCCGCUGGACGCCGACAAGGGCUGCUGCGGUUCCUGCUGCCUGCCCUGCGCCCUUUGCUGCCCCAAAUGCUCGCGCUGCUGCCGCCCCGGCUGCUGCAGCCUCAAGGGCUGCCUGUGCUUCGUGCCUCGCCUGCUCUGCUACCUGCCCCGCAAGCUGCUCAGCAGCUGCCACCACCUCAAGUGCCUCCUCAUCGUGGUGGUGGUGGUGGUCCUGCUGGUGGUCAUCAUCGCCGGCGCCCUGCUGAUGUGGCUGCAGGUGGAGCGGGGCCACCCCGACGCCGUCCUGCGGUUGGGCGCGGGGAGGGCGUGGGAAGAGGACGCGGCCACUUUCUACGUGGAUGGCGGAGCUGGAAACCUGGCCACGGUGGUCUACGACUACAAAAACCUGCUGGUGAGCUACAGGUCGCGGCUGCACCACGCCUGCUACGUCACCCGCAUGGACAAGGACAACAUCCCGGGGCUGGAUGCGGCCACCCAGGCUUUCCAGCGCCGGCAGGCUGAGCAGAGGCUGGCCAUGCCCCUGGAUGACCGCUCCCUGCUGGGCACCACGGCGAGCAUCCUCUGCAGCAUCGUCCCCGUUUACUGGAUUUAGGGCAGGCUGGCCCCGACG